GGCAGUGUGAUUUAGUGCAUAGCGCCGGACUGGGAGUCAGGACACCUGGGUCUAUUCCCAGCUCUGCCA
rnacentral:tRNA from 1 species